GAGAUUUGGGUGGGGACACAGAGCCAAACUAAUCCUAAUCCCCCUAAUCCUCUGUUUCCUCACCUGUUAGAUGGAGACCCCUCUCUCCAUUAUCCCCAGGGCUGAAUCAGGUGGAGUGGGUGAAACUCCUGGUAUUCACAGAGCCUGUCCCAUGGUCUCGCUGCUGCUCACUGCAUGUUCCCUAACCCCACCCGCACCCCCAGAUGGGCUUCCAUUUCUCUCUGAAUGUACCCUAUGGUACACACCCUGGUCCAAAGGGGCAGACUUGGCUGUUUCAUUUGUCUUCACAGGGACUUGAUUGAUUCAUCUUGGGUCCCAGUGCCUAACUCAGGGCAGCUACAAUAUAUAUAUGGUUGUUGAGUGAAGAAGAAAAAAAAAUUGAGACAUUCCUAUCAGAAAUCAUCAGAUGUGUUAUAAUUAAACUGUAGGUACAAUAAAAGAAGUAUAAACUUUUCUUUCUUACAUUUAGGAGUCAAAUCAUUGACCCAGAUAUUUUGAAUUAUCAAUAUGGAGAUCCUGUAACAACCUUAAAUUACUAGAAAGCCACCAUUGUUUACUAUUUUCAAAUUUUGGCCGUCUUGGACUAUAAAGGACCACACACCAGUGACAGAUGCAUGACAAAUUUAAAAGGGCACCUCAGCUUUUCAAUGUGUGGCCACUGCCACCUUCAUGGCCCUGGACAGCUCGACACUAAAUUUCCAACCACCCCUUCCGGUAUGAUGAGGCUGCCUGGCCAUCCUCGGUGGAAUCAACCACACUCAGCUCUGUGGAAGAAGGAAUGCCCAGCACUGUUCCCCAGAGCCGCCUGCAGCAACUGACAGCCGCCCGCCUCGGCUGCCGCUCCACCUGCUCAGGCCUGCCUUCAGAGUUGUCGGAUAGGUGGCAAGCCAAAGGGAUCCUCGUGUUCACAGAAAGUCUUCCUGAAACCCAAGUGGACACCCAGUUCAGAGACCAUGAAGUGAAACAGUUGGAGAAACUCCCUGGAAAGUUUCACUGGGGACAAACACUGGAUUAUUCAGAUUAGCCUGGGCCAUGAAAAUAUUCUACUAGAAGCAUUGUGAGCUGAAUCCAGGUGCCCUGGCUUCAAAUCCCAUCAGAGGUGGAUUCUGACAUGAGGUAGAUUAUGAGCCCACAGCCACCAGGAAGAACCAGUCACAGGCAAGAGCUUUUAGCCCUGCCCGGAAGGAAAGUACCACCAAGUUCCCAAAAGCAGCAGACAAGUGUCCUUCAGGAACUGAGAGACUCAGCCUGGUAUUGUGUGCUAAUAAUUACACCCGGCUUUUUUGUUUUUUAAAGAAAAAUAAGUUGUAAAAUUCCAGCACUUCGGGAGGCCGAGGCAGGUGGAUCCCUUGAGCACAGGAGUUUGAGACCAGCCGGGACAACAU